rnacentral:lncRNA from 1 species
UGGUGCUCGCUAAAACAACUGAAAUGUCUCUGGAAUCCGAAGUUAUGUAACGUUCUAAGAGUAUGAAUUGGAGGCUUUGAACUGAGUCCUGGCUUCCACUUCAAAGAUCAGAAGCUAGAGGAACUGUAACAAAUACUCUGGACUGAACGGAACAUGUAAUGUAUAUUAACAGUAGAUAAAACCAAGCAGCAGCAUCUGGAUGAGGAGCAAAGGAAAGUGCCAAUGUUAAGUGAUGUACUAUAUUGGUUUGAUUUAUAUUGGAUGAGAAAAUUGCUGUGAAUCAGCAAUGUAGUGCAAACUUGAGG